rnacentral:rRNA from 1 species
GUGCCAGCCGCCGCGGUAAGACGAACCGUGCGAACGUUAUUCGGAAUCACUGGGCUUAAAGGGCGCGUAGGCGGGCCACCAAGUCAGGGGUGAAAUCCCACGGCUCAACCGUGGAAGUGCCCUUGAUACUGGUGGCCUCGAGGGAGGCAGGGGCGUGCGGAACUUUGGGUGGAGCGGUGAAAUGCGUAGAUAUCCAAAGGAACACCGGUGGCGAAAGCGGCGCGCUGGACCUCUUCUGACGCUGAGGCGCGAAAGCCAGGGGAGCAAACGGGAUUAGAAACCCCGGUAGUCC